rnacentral:rRNA from 1 species
CCUACGGGAGGCAGCAGUGGGGAAUUUUGGACAAUGGGGGCAACCCUGAUCCAGCCAUGCCGCGUGCAGGAUGAAGGUCUUCGGAUUGUAAAACUGCUUUUGUCAGGGACGAAAAGGGAUGCGAUAACACCGCAUUCUGCUGACGGUACCUGAAGAAUAAGCACCGGCUAACUACGUGC